rnacentral:rRNA from 1 species
GACGAACGCUGGCGGCGUGCUUAACACAUGCAAGUCGAACGGAAAGGCCCUGCUUUUGUGGGGUGCUCGAGUGGCGAACGGGUGAGUAACACGUGAGUAACCUGCCCUUGACUUUGGGAUAACUUCAGGAAACUGGGGCUAAUACCGGAUAGGAGCUCCUGCUGCAUGGUGGGGGUUGGAAAGUUUCGGCGGUUGGGGAUGGACUCGCGGGUUAUCCGCUUGUUGGUGGGGUAGUGGCUUACCAAGGCUUUGACGGGUAGCCGGCCUGAGAGGGUGACCGGCCACAUUGGGACUGAGAUACGGCCCAGACUCCUACGGGAGGCAGCAGUGGGGAAUAUUGCACAAUGGGCGGAAGCCUGAUGCAGCAACGCCGCGUGCGGGAUGACGGCCUUCGGGUUGUAAACCGCUUUCGCCUGUGACGAAGCGUGAGUGACGGUAAUGGGUAAAGAAGCACCGGCUAACUACGUG